rnacentral:rRNA from 1 species
AACGAACGCUGGCGGCAGGCUUAACACAUGCAAGUCGAACGGAUCCUUCGGGAUCAGUGGCGGACGGGUGAGUAACGCGUGGGAACCUACCCUGGGGUGGGGAAUAACCUUGGGAAACCGAGUCUAAUACCGCAUACGCCCUAUUGGGGAAAGACUAUGUUGCCCUGGGAUGGGCCCGCGUCCGAUUAGCUAGUUGGUGGGGUAAUGGCCUACCAAGGCUGCGAUCGGUAGCUGGUCUGAGAGGAUGAUCAGCCACACUGGGACUGAGACACGGCCCAGACUCCUACGGGAGGCAGCAGUGGGGAAUAUUGGACAAAUGGGGGGCAACCCUGAUCCAGCCAUGCCGCGUGAGUGAAGAAGGCCUUAGGGUUGUAAAGCUCUUUCACCCGUGACGAUGAUGACGGUAGCGGGAGAAGAAGCCCCCGGCUAAAUUCCGUGCCAGCAGCCGCGGUAAU